CCUUCGAUUGCUCAGUUGGUAGAGUGGAGGACUGUAGAUCCUUAGGUCGCUGGUUCGACUCCAGCUCGAAGGA
rnacentral:tRNA from 1 species